UCAGUGAAUCAUCGAAUCUUUGAACGCACAUUGCGCCCGCCAGUAUUCUGGCGGGCAUGCCUGUUCGAGCGUCAUUUCAACCCUCAAGCCCAGCUUGGUGUUGGGAUCUGUCCUAACCGACAGUCCCCAAAUUGAUUGGCGGUCACGUCGAGCUUCCAU
rnacentral:rRNA from 1 species